rnacentral:misc_RNA from 1 species
GAGAAGAACGCAGCGAAAUGCGAUACGUAAUGUGAAUUGCAGAAUUCAGUGAAUCAUCGAAUCUUUGAACGCAUAUUGCGCUCUCUGGUAUUCCGGAGAGCAUGCUUGUUUGAGUAUCAGUAAACACCUCAACUCCCUUUCUUCUUGAAAUGGAGCUGGACUUGAGUGAUCCCAACGCUUUAUUCAUAAAGUGGCGGGUUACUUGAAAUGCAGGUGCAGCUGGACUUUUCUCUGAGCUAUAAGCAUAUCUAUUUAGUCUGCCUCAAAACAGAUUAUUACCUUUGCUGCAGCUAACAUAAAGGAGAUUAGUUCUUGUGCUGACUGAUGCAGGAUUCACAAAGACCGCUUCGGCUGUCUUUGUAAACUCGAUCUCAAAUCAAGUAAGACUACCCGCUGAACUUAAGCAUAUCAAUAAGCGGAGGA